rnacentral:rRNA from 1 species
AUUGAACGCUGGCGGCAUGCUUUACACAUGCAAGUCGAACGGUAACGCGGGGGCAACCCUGGCGACGAGUGGCGAACGGGUGAGUAAUACAUCGGAACGUGCCCAUUAGUGGGGGAUAGCCCGGCGAAAGCCGGAUUAAUACCGCAUACGUCCUACGGGAGAAAGCGGGGGAUCGCAAGACCUCGCGCUAAUGGAGCGGCCGAUGCCAGAUUAGCUUGUUGGUGGGGUAAAGGCUUACCAAGGCAGCGAUCUGUAGCUGGUCUGAGAGGACGACCAGCCACACUGGGACUGAGACACGGCCCAGACUCCUACGGGAGGCAG